GAUGAACGCUAGCUACAGGCUUAACACAUGCAAGUCGAGGGGCAGCACAGUGUAGCAAUACAUGGGUGGCGACCGGCGCACGGGUGCGUAACGCGUAUCCAACCUUCCCGAUACUCUUGGAUAGCCUUCCGAAAGGGAGAUUAAUACAAGAUGGUGUUUCACUUUCGCAUGUUAUUGAAACUAAAGAUUUAUCGGUAUCGGAUGGGGAUGCGUGACAUUAGAUAGUAGGCGGGGUAACGGCCCACCUAGUCUACGAUGUCUAGGGGUUCUGAGAGGAAGGUCCCCCACACUGGAACUGAGACACGGUCCAGACUCCUACGGGAGGCAGCAGUGAGGAAUAUUGGUCAAUGGUCGGAAGACUGAACCAGCCAAGUAGCGUGAAGGAUGAAGGUUCUAUGGAUUGUAAACUUCUUUUAUACGGGAAUAAAACACCUUACGUGUAGGGUCUUGUAUGUACCGUAUGAAUAAGCAUCGGCUAACUCCGUGCCAGCAGCCGCAGUAAGAC
rnacentral:rRNA from 1 species